UGGGGAAUAUUGGACAAUGGGGGGAACCCUGAUCCAGCCAUGCCGCGUGUGUGAAGAAGGCCUUAUGGUUGUAAAGCACUUUAAGCGAGGAGGAGGGUACUGGUAUUAAUACUACCAGGUACUGGACGUUACUCGCAGAAUAAGCACUGGCUAACUCUGUGCCAGCAGCCGCGGUAAUACAGAGGGUGCGAGCGUUAAUCGGAUUUACUGGGCGUAAAGCGUGCGUAGGCGGCUAAUUGAGUCGGAUGUGAAAUCCCCGAGCUUAACUUGGGAAUUGCAAUCGAUACUGGUUAGCUAGAGUGUGGGAGAGGAUGGUAGAAUUCCAGGUGUAGCGGUGAAAUGCGUAGAGAUCUGGAGGAAUACCGAUGGCGAAGGCAGCCAUCUAGCCUAACACUGACGCUGAGGUACGAAAGCAUGGGGAGCAAACAGG
rnacentral:rRNA from 1 species